AUAAAAAGGAGAAUGGAGGAUUAGAUGGGAGAGGUGUGUUGCGUGUGGAGUGCAGUAUUGGCAUAGGCAUCAGCAUCGGUGGUGGGUGGCGAGGGAAAGAGAAUGGAAGAAUCAUCGAUAGAGGAGUCGGUGGCGAGCGUUGUGGAAGAAGCGAAGGAGCUUCAAGAAGCUGUUUCUGCUCACAUCUCCAAAGCCUCAAGCGAUGAGCAACCUCUUCGCCAGCGUGCGCUUCGCCUCGACGCCAGAAUCCAUUCUCUUCGUUCCUCUCUCGAUUCUCUCCUCUCCAACAAACUCAUCCCUCCCUCCCUUGCCGAUAAGUUGGAUGAAGAUUUGCAAAGAGCCAGAUGCAUUAUCGUCGACGGUGACGCUUCCUCGUUUCUCCCUGGCCAUGCACAAGGAAGCUUUCUGAGGAUGUUUUUGGGUCCUAUCAACGUGCGUGCCUCUCGGAAGGAUGUCCAGCUUAAGGUUAAAGAGGAAUACAACAGUUACAGGGAUAGAACUGCCCUGCUAUUCCUGCUUUUUCCGGCAAUACUGCUUAUUCUAAGAUCUUGGGUUUGGGCUGGAUGUUUGCCAGCUUUUCCUGUUCAGAUUUACCAGGCCUGGCUGUUAUUCCUUUACACUGGUUUGGCUCUGCGAGAGAACAUAUUAAGAGUCAAUGGAAGUGAUAUUCGUCCAUGGUGGAUAUAUCAUCAUUAUUGUGCUAUGGUAAUGGCCCUCGUCAGUCUCACUUGGGAAAUUAAAGGACAACCAGACUGUGCAAAAAAGCAGAGAGGUGUACAACUUUUCUUACAAUGGGCUAUGAUGCAAGGAGUUGCAAUGCUUUUGCAAAAUAGAUAUCAACGACAAAGGCUUUAUACUCGUAUUGCAUUGGGAAAGGCUAAGAGGAUGGAUGUUGUGUGGGGGGAAACAGCUGGUGUGGAUGGCCAACUGUGGUUAUUGUGUCCCAUACUUUUCACAUUGCAGGGAUUUGAAGCAUAUAUUGGGCUAUUGUUGCUUAGGACUGCAUUUGUUCGGGUUGUUUCCGAGUGGCAGGUAAUAUUUUGUGGUGUCCUGUUGGUCUUAAUGGCUGUUGGGAACUUUGCAAAUACAGUACAGACUCUGAUGGCGAAGUCAAGAUUUAAGGCAAAGAUGAGGAGGAGCAAGAGCAAGCAGAGGCUGAAUUAGCAAGUUGUGACCUACCUUUUGAGCUUUAUUAGGAUCAGGAUUUUUCGCACUCAUUUCAGUUUUGACCACAGUGCAAGCUGGGUGAUGAUUGCAUCUUCUGGUCACCUCCAUGAUGUUUUUAGUGCAUGUUUGUGUUUACGUUGGUAGCAGAGGUUGAGGGAAAGCAGAUAUUUCUUGCUUGGAAAAGCUCAUUUAAAGUGUUUUGGUAAUCCUGCCGACGGAGUUUUGGUUUACAUGCUAUCAGGCCCUUGGGCUUGCUUUUAAGUACUAUGUUGACUCGAGAGUCCGGGGAAAUGGUUGAUAAUGUUAGUAACCCAAAUUUUAAAAUUUUAAACUAGAGAUGGCUAGUUAGGGCCCCUUUCGUGCUGUGCUAUUUCCCCCUAACCAAUUGUAGAGCUUGCCAAAAUGUUUUUGUUGGAUCUGAUCAUGUUCAUUUAAAACGGGAUGAGAUAUUGUCCCGUAAAAUGUAUAAAUUUAUUUAUAUUCGAUUUUCUGGUGCACUAUAAGUUUAUUUGUAAAAAUGUAAUCAAAUAAAACAGUGAGAUACUAAAUAGGUGAUACAUACUUUAUCCUCU